GCUUACCAGGGCGAUGCCAGUGCAGGCAAAGAGCACCUCGAAGCCGCUGUAGAUAAAGAAGGGCACGAGGUGGCGCAGGCGGAAGUCACGCACAUGCUUGAAGGGCAGCUGGAAGAUGUUGCCCCAGCCCACGCUGCGCAGGUCGAUCUCCUCCGUGGGCCGUCCACAGGCGCCAGGCCAGCUUCCGAGCCUCUAGCCCAGCUCCUAGGCUCAGGCUCCCGCCCCAGGACUCAGCUCUGACUCGGAUUCAGACCAAGCCCCCAGGCCGCCAUCCAGACGCCCAUACCGCACUCCUCUCUACCCGCCAUGGUACCCAGACCUGCCUCCGCCACACCCCCAUCCCGGCCCCCACCAGCAGCAUAGCCAGGAAGGCCAUGGCCAUGAGCACGCUCUCCACCACGAUGAGGUUUCGGCUCCGCGGCAGCGUCCGUAGGACCGUCUUGUUGAAGCCGCUGAGGAUGCCCUGGCUGUUAGUGCCUGAGAAAGGCUGACUCGCCAGCCCCCCUUCGUUACUCAUGUGCUGUGACUGCAGGGCCCAGAGAACAUUCAAGGGACUUGUCCCAAGCGGGGGCAGGCAAACAGGUGAACAGCCAGGCACCCUCGAGCCCCUGCCCCGGUGCAGUUUGCCCUUGCCAUGCUCUGUGGUCAAUUGAGAAAUUUCCUCUUCACUGGCUCCUAGAACCACAGCCUCACUGGCUCUGAGAAAAUGUCACACCGUGUUAGAAGGGGGUUGACAAGUGACAGAGUCAAAAGGGCUCGUUCAGAGCAUGGAGGCUGGUCCAGCUGAAAACCACAACUGUGAUUUUGGGGAUGGUUUUGUUUUGUUGUUUGUUUGUUUUGAGUAUUUGUGCUCAUCAUUUCCUUUCUUUGUGUUAGUUUCCAAGAAGUUCAAAGUUUUUCCAAGUUCAAA